GUUGCCUUCUGAAAGGGGUUGACGCAGAAACUACCUCCUGUUGAUCAUAGCUUCUCAUUCCUCUAGAAUGACGGACGCAGUUCCUAUGCCUAAUGUAUGCAAAUAAAACCAUCCGCAAAAUGAUACUCCCAUCUGGGAUUCUAUAGGACUGUUCCUGAGAAAAGCCUGCCUGAUGUUUUCACCACCUCUAGGCAGAGUUCAAUAAAAACGAACUUAGCCAAAUGCCUGACAGGUAGUAAGUGCUCAAGAAACAGUUGACUGGACGACUGCUCCAUUUCUUCUCUGCAUAUCUGAACACUCAAGCACCGGAAGGCACCUAAACCCAGAGCCUCUCCAGACCAUAUGACAUCAGUCAAAGACUCUGCUUGAGAAUUAUUUUUGUUCUUGGCCUCAGCUCCGGAUCACAGCAAUUUAUAUAUGCCAUCUCUGUUUCAGAGACAGUUUAUUUUCAGCUGCCAAGCCACUUUUUUCCAAGCCUUCAGUCAAAUAAUUUCUCCUGAAGAAAAAGAAAAGAGAAUGACAUAACUGUCAGGGUUUUAUUUCAAAAGAAGAGUGGUUAUAUAGAUUUUUUGUGUGUGUUCAUAUCAAAGUGUCAAUAACUGUUAAAGAGGAACAGUCAACUAGCAAGUCACUUGUCAAUGAUUCUUCCAUCUUUGACAUGGGAGAGAUUUGAAGAACAUUUAUUUAGCAAUUUUUUUAUUAAAUGUCUACUUGGCUUACUGGACUAAGUUGUGGCAAUCUGAGAAUGGACCAGAUUUCAUUCAAGAUGUUUGCCUUCAAGGAGUUUAUAGUCUAGUGGGAAAAAUAAACAAGUAAAAUCUGGGAACUUUGAGCAUAAAUCUCUGGAGCAUUCAUAGUCAUUGUAUAACAGGAAUUCUUUAACAUUUUGGAUGUUAUUUUCUCAUCUUUCCACUGAACAAAAUUGACUCAAGCCUUUAAUAAUCUCUGCUAUGUACUUGCAGUGGAAAAUGUCAACAAGUGAUCCUAACAAUUCUCCAGGAAGUGGAGGCUCAGGUGGUUAAUGAGUAGUCCCAAUAUUGAGCUCAAAAGUCGGUCUUCUACAUCCAUUUUUUCUGUCGUGUGUUUCUAUCAUGAACACGUUUCCAUUAUAGCAGAUUGAUACUUUCUUACCCAAAUUUAUUUACCUAUCUACUAGACCACGAAGUCAAAGACCACUUUUCAUUUGUAUAUCUGCCCAUCACCCUAAUAGAUUGUGACCUUUUGAGAUGAGAAACAUGGUUCCUGCCCUCAAGAGGAUCAAAUUUGGAGAAAAAGGUAGAUAAUGAUAUCAAAUAGGGUGAGAACAAACACUGAAAUCAAGUUUAUUGUUAAAAUGUGGAGGAGGAGCACCUCAUUCAACCUGCGUUCAACAAAAGUACUUCUCAAAAAUGUCAAGCUCAAGAUGAGUAUUGAAGAACCAGUAGGAAUUGGCCAAGCUAAGAAGAGACAAAGAGUGCUCCAUACACAGGCACGUAUACCUUUGUAUGUAUCUCCUUGCCUAUGAACUGUAGAGUAAAACUCAUUACAAGUAUUCUGGAUCCAUUUUUGGCUAAGUGAAGAGGAAAGUUUUACCAGCUGAUGGCCGUUUGAUGACCUACAUGGAAAGAACUGGUAGACUCAGGAGAGCACAAUUGAGAGAAGUGAUCACAUCACAAAAUGUGACAUCAUUCUUUGGCACCAGCUGGCAUCCUGGACAUGGAGAGUGAAUGGCACCCUUCCUUGGAUUCUAGUGCUGUUGCUGAGAUUAGCCAUUCUUGCAUCUCAAAAGGAAGAUGUUAAAAGAAGAGUUAGCCAACUGUGUUCCUGGUGCUGUGCCAGCAGGAAGUUCCCUUUGAAUGGUGCUGCAAACAUAAUAGCAGUGUGCUGACUCCAGCAACAAUGUAAAAAACAGAAAGAGAACAAGGAGGAGGAAGAGAAGGGGGAGGAAGAAAGAGAAGAGAGAAGAGAAAAAGAGAAAAGAAGUGGAAAAGAGGAAGAGGGAAAGAAAGCUUACCUUCAUUUACCUCUGUUCACACUCAAACUUCUUGAUAGUAACCAACCUUGAUGUUGUCACUGACUCCUCUCCUUUCCACUUGUGAAUCCAUUGCAAUCUGGCUUCUCCCUCCUUCAUUCAGAAAAUUGUCUUGUGAUGGUCUCCAAAGGCCCUGGGGCUGCAAAAUUUAACGGGCACUGGUCAAUUAUUAUUGCAACAAAUUUUUCCUAGAAUUCAUAAUAUUUACCAAACUCCAUUUGAAGUGCCUGCCUUUCUUUAUGUAGUGGUUACUUCAUCACCUUCUAUCUCUAUUUGCUCUAUUUCCUUCCCCCUCCUUGGCUUCUUUUUUCUACAUUAGGUCCUUUCACACCCUGGUUUUCCUCUAAGAUUCUGUCCUUGCUCAUGUCUGUUCUCUAUAUACUCCUCGUGGCACACUUAUCCAUUCCUGUAAUACCAGGUACCAUGUAUUUAUGACUCGACUUUUUAUCUUCACCACAGACCAUUCCCUUGAACUCCAGAUUUGUGCUUCUAGGCUCCUACCAGACACGUUUAGUAGAUAUAUCACCAACACCUUAAACUUAUCCAACAUUAAAUCCCCUUUAUGUUCUUUCCAAUUCUCCACUUGGUUUGAUUUUAGUGUCCAAGUCAGAAGCUUUAGGAUCACUUCCUCUUUGUUACUCACUUACCCAGUAGGUCAUUAAGUCUGAGUCUAUGGAUAUCUCUGGAAUCCACUCCAUGACCACAAUUUCUGUCUUUCUUCAGACUCUCAUCAUUUCUAACCUAUCCUGUUGCACUAGCCUCGGACCAGACCUCCCUGCCUACAGGCUUUCCCACCUUCCUUUCCUCCUGAAUCUGUAUUCUACACUAUUGCCUCUGGUACCUAAAGUACAAAACUAAUCAGGACACUUCUCUGAUUAACACCUUUCAAUGACUUUUUACACCUAUCAGCUCCUUUCCUUGAUAAACAUAAAAGGUCCUUGACAGUCUGGCUUCUCCCCCCCUUUAUGAUUGUGUCUCCCUACUUUCCCUAACUCACUGCCUCUGGUUCAGCCUUAACUGUCUUUUUGCAGUUUCCCAAACAUGCCAGGCUAUUUCACAUCUCCAAGGUUUCGGAGAGUCUGAUGCAUUUGCCUGAAAUGCUCUUCCCCUCUCAGGCAACUGGCAAAUUCCUGUUCAGUAUUUGAAAAUUCCAUGAACAUCACCCCCACCCCCACCCCACAUACAUGUGCAUCUUCCUAUUACUUUUUCAUCCAUAAGCAUGGAGGUAUACCUCUCUAUUAGCAUUUUUCUCACUGUGUCAUAGUUUAUAACAUGGGGGGGGGGGGUCUCCAUGAAUCCUUGAGGUCCCUGAGAAAUGUCUUUAUUUCAGUUUAAACUAUGCCUGGCGUGUAAUACAUGCUGAAUGCAUGUUGGUUGAAUGAAUAAUAAAUAAAUACAGACAGUAUUAGAACA